rnacentral:rRNA from 1 species
UACGUAGGGUGCGAGCGUUGUCCGGAAUUAUUGGGCGUAAAGGGCUCGUAGGCGGUUUGUCGCGUCGGGGAGUGAAAACCCCAGGGCUUAACCCUGGGCUGGCUUCCGAUACGGGCAGACUAGAGGUAUGCAGGGGAGAACGGAAUUCCUGGUGUAGCGGUGAAAUGCGCAGAUAUCAGGAGGAACACCGGUGGCGAAGGCGGUUCUCUGGGACGGUACUGACGCUGAGACGCGAAAGCGUGGGGAGCGAACAGG